UUUAUACUGAAUAUCCCUUAUGUCUAUAAGACUUUUUUUUUUACCUUGUAGACUCUCUUCCUUCAAAGACAGAGCUCUGUAACCUGAGUGAACAUAGAAGUGUUUUACUGCAAACCGGUAAAGCAUUUAUUAAAGAUGGUCCAAUGCCUUUGGAGUUCCAGAGACUACAUCAUCAGUCUCCCAAAGAUCUAGAGAGGAACAGAGUGGGAAUGCAGCAGUGCGACAGAGAUGAAGCAAUAAAGAUGCAUCAACCAAGGGGAGUUCCAUCAAUGCAUGAUGUUUUAAAAUGAGAAAGGACUCCCAUGCCCUUCAGUUAGUGCCUGGAGCUUGUCAAACUCUUCUAAAUGCUUAUUGAUCUCUUCUAUGGAGCAGCUGGCUAGCCCAAUAGAAAGAGUUCCAGGCCGGAAAUCAGGAAGACUUCUUCCCAAGUUCAAAUCUAGCCUCAGAAACUGUGACCCUAGGCAACUCACUUCAACCUGCUUGCCUCAGUUUCCUCAUCCAUAAAAUGACCCAGAGAAGGAAAUAGCAAACCAUUCCAGUAUCUUUGCUCAGAAAAUCCUAUAUGGUUUCACAAAGAUUUGGAUGUGAUUGAAAAAUGACAAUAAUAACAUGAGGCCUUGCGAUGUUUGGGGGCUUAAUGCAACCAGCAACCUGUCAUCCUCAAUUUGGAGUAUCUAAAGUAUCUCAUUAUUCUUACUGAAUUCCAUUACAACUUAGAUUUUGUCCUGUAUCUCCUAUAUGAAUCUAACAACCUCUUGUUUGGAGAAUUUAUAUCCUUUUUUUUAAUACUUUGCUUGAUAUUUAUAAUCCAAGGAUCAUCAAAAAGGGUUAUCUCUCUUGUUAUAGCAAAGAAUCUUUAUUUAACUUGAAGUGUUAAGGAAAGAUAGCUCAUUAGAAGAGAGCCUUUUAGGUAGUUUUACUUAAUCAAAAAUUAUUUUAAUAAUCAAAAAUCCAUAAGCA
rnacentral:lncRNA from 1 species